rnacentral:misc_RNA from 1 species
AAUUUCUCAAUCUUUCUGGCUUUUUCAAGUAAAAAUCCAGUCAGACUUGGAUCUUGGAAGGUUGUUGGCUGUCUUUUGAAAGUCGACUCUCCUUAAAGAUAUUCGCAUGAAUCAAUCCUGGAUUAUCUUUGAUAUAAUAAAUAUGUAUAUCAUUGAAAAAAUCAGAUGUCUAUUGAUUUUGCUCUCUAAUAGUCUGUUUACGGACAACAGCCUGAACAUU